rnacentral:rRNA from 1 species
GAUGAACGCUGGCGGCGUGCUUAAUACAUGCAAGUCGAACGGCGGAUUAGCAAUAAUUCUUAGUGGCGAACGGGUGAGUAACGCGUGGGUGACCUGCCCCGAAGAGAGGGAUAACAGUUCGAAAGGACUGCUAAUACCGCAUAAUAUCAUAGAGAUUAGAAGCUUUAUGAUGAAAGGAGCAAUCCGCUUUGGGAGGGGCCUGCGUUCCAUCAGCUAGUUGGUAGGGUAAAGGCCUACCAAGGCGACGACGGAUAGGGGACCUGAGAGGGUGGCCCCCCACACUGGCACUGAAACACGGGCCAGACACCUACGGGUGGCAGCAGUAGGGAAUAUUGCACAAUGGGCGAAAGCCUGAUGCAGCAACGCCGCGUGCACGAUGAAGGCCUUCGGGUUGUAAAGUGCUUUUUGGGGAGAUGAGGAAGGACAGUAUCCCCAGAAUAAGGCUCGGCUAACUACGCGCCAGCAGCCGCCGUAAAAC